AUGAAGCCGGAAUUGCUAGUAAUGGCAGGUCAGCAUACUGCCGUGAAUACGUUCCCGGGUCUUGUACACACCGCCCGUCACACCAUGAGAGUUGGGAAUACCCGAAGCCUGUGAGCCAACAAACGAGGCAGCAGUCGAAGGUAGAAUCAAUGAUUGGGGUGAAGUCGUAACAAGGUACC
rnacentral:rRNA from 1 species